GCAGCGGUCUCUAGGGAAGAGCUCCGUACAGUGGCAUCCCUGGACACGUGAAGAGCUCCCGGACCAGUAAAGCACGGGGUCCUUCGAGUGCUGUGGACCAGGUAGUGCUGUAAUGGAAACAACCCCAGUGGCGGCGUGGGACGUGGUUGAGGUUUUGAGAUCCCCGGAGAGAUCGCGGAGCCCGUGGACACGUGUGUCGUGGGAAACUGGACUACCCUACAUGAAGAUUGUGUUGCCAUGGGACGAAUAGCCGUGGUCUCUAGGGAAGAGUUCCGUACAGUGGCAUCUCUGGACACGUGAAGAGCUCCCGGACCCAUAA